rnacentral:tRNA from 3 species
ACGGGUGUAGCUCAAUUGGUAGAGCGACGGUCUCCAAAACCGUAGGCUGCGGGUUCGAUUCCUGCCACCCGUG